UACAGAGGGUGCAAGCGUUAAUCGGAAUUACUGGGCGUAAAGGGUGCGUAGGUGGUUGAAUAAGUUAGGUGUGAAAGUCCUGGCUUAACCUGGGGACUGCGCCUAAUACUGUUUAGCUAGAGUACUGUAGAGGAAGGUGGAAUUUCCAGUGUAGCGGUGAAAUGCGUAGAUAUUGGAAGGAACAUCUGUGGCGAAGGCGACCUUCUGGACAGAUACUGACACUGAGGCACGAAAGCGUGGGGAGCAAACAGG
rnacentral:rRNA from 1 species